rnacentral:rRNA from 1 species
AAACGUAGGUCACAAGCGUUGUCCGGAAUUACUGGGUGUAAAGGGAGCGCAGGCGGGAAGACAAGUUGGAAGUGAAAUCCAUGGGCUCAACCCAUGAACUGCUUUCAAAACUGUUUUUCUUGAGUAGUGCAGAGGUAGGCGGAAUUCCCGGUGUAGCGGUGGAAUGCGUAGAUAUCGGGAGGAACACCAGUGGCGAAGGCGGCCUACUGGGCACCAACUGACGCUGAGGCUCGAAAGUGUGGGUAGCAAACAGGAUUAGAUACCCUGGUAGUCCACACUGUAAACGAUGAUUACUAGGUGUUGGAGGAUUGACCCCUUCAGUGCCGCAGUUAACACAAUAAGUAAUCCACCUGGGGAGUACGACCGCAAGGUUGAAACUCAAAGGAAUUGACGGGGGCCCGCACAAGCAGUGGAGUAUGUGGUUUAAUUCGACGCAACGCGAAGAACCUUACCAAGUCUUGACAUCCUGCGACGCACAUAGAAAUAUGUGUUUCCUUCGGGACGCAGAGACAGGUGGUGCAUGGUUGUCGUCAGCUCGUGUCGUGAGAUGUUGGGUUAAGUCCCGCAACGAGCGCAACCCUUAUGGUCAGUUACUACGCAAGAGGACUCUGGCCAGACUGCCGUUGACAAAACGGAGGAAGGUGGGGAUGACGUCAAAUCAUCAUGCCCUUUAUGACUUGGGCUACACACGUACUACAAUGGCGUUAAACAAAGAGAAGCAAGACCGCGAGGUGGAGCAAAACUCAGAAACAACGUCCCAGUUCGGACUGCAGGCUGCAACUCGCCUGCACGAAGUCGGAAUUGCUAGUAAUCGCAGAUCAGCAUGCUGCGGUGAAUACGUUCCCGGGCCUUGUACACACCGCCCGUCACACCAUGAGAGCCGGGGGGACCCGAAGUCGGUAGUCUAACCGCAAGGAGGACGCCGCCGAAGGUAAAACUGGUGAUUGGGGUG